AUACAUAUUUACAGAAUUAAUAGUAAGCAUGCUGAAGAUGUUCAAUCACCUAAACUCAUAUGGCAACUUCACAAACAACAGUUUAAUACAGUCCCAACAUUACAAGUAUAGGCAUAACUGAAACUACCUAACCAAAAUGUAAAAAACAACUAAGAUUAACUCUAACUUUCAACAUUCAAACACCAUGACUGGACUCCUAGAGGUGAGCAUCAGAUUUUAGCCAAACAUUUCAAAAAUGAACAGAAAACUACGAGUAAAAAGAAAAACAAGGAAAAAGUCAUUGAACAACAACGGAUCUGGAGUUUCACUUUCCAAUCAGCAUAUUAUAGCCAUAUUUUUUGCAGUUGUGAUAGUACCUGGAUACAACAAAGGGAAAGAAAAUCUCGAAAUCAGCUAAAGUGAAUCAAUAGAGAAGGACCAGCAACAAUAAACAACAAACAUAACCAAACAGCUUAUGUGAUCAACUAUUUUCAGCUUGGAGAAAACCAGAAAUCCUCAUGAAAAGAGUUUAAGGUUUUAAAGGAAGGAUCAGAGGGCAAUUUGAGCUAACUUUGAUAAUAAGAGUGCAGAAAACCUUUUUGGUAUUUUUCCAGGGAAAUGAAAAUCUAUCUUAGUGUCUUUUUAGUGUUUUUCCAGUUUCUAAAAAUCUAUAUCCGUGUCCCCUUUUUCAGUGAAAGAAAUGGUGCUCUUUAUAGGCCUAAAGGGCCAUGUGCUGGAUAACCAACAGGGAAAUAUUCCCUUCCAGCCUGAAAAGGCAUCUUUUUAACCACCUGGGCCAGCUGGCUGACCCUUAUUGGCUCAGCAUUUGUGCAAACCAAAUAGGGACAACUAACGUAUUUCUAGAACAUUCCUAAUAUAAAAAUAUCUUAAAGUCUUUGUUUUAUUUCCCAGCUUAAAUACCUAAGUUUUCAGUUGUUCAAUUGACCCCCCAGAAGUUCUAAUGAUUACAGACUAAUGCAAACAAAACAAAACCCUGAAUUAAGAGUAAGGAAGAUCAAAUGGAACAAAAUUCCUAUUCAAUUAAGCUUUCAACUAAACCUAAAUCCUUUUGCUCAGAUAUUGGAAUAAAAACAAGGAUAUAACCAAUAUUUACUUAAUACUAAUCACAAACAAAUGCAAUCAAUCUAACUAAUUCAUGCAAGCUAACACAGAAAAUAAUUAUGAAACCUAAAUAUGUUAACUAGCUUAGCCAAAUCAAAUUGAACUUUCGGACCUUAAUUAAUUAGCCUACGAGAUUCAAAUUAAACUAACCAAUGACGAUUACUUAAAAAAACAGAGAUGAAUGGAACUAUUGACACGAACAAAGAGAUGAGUAAUAUUGGUCAGAGGAUGAGAACACCAAAGAGAAAGAAGAGGAAAAAACAGAGAAAAUAGAAAUAAAAUUGAAGCAAAAGAAAAAUUACUUAUGUUCACUCUGGAUCCACAAAACACCCGACUAGUUUCUUCAAUAAAUGAAAUGAACCUUUAACUAACAUUAAUCGACUGUCUUUGACAAGGAACAAUCAAUUAAUGAAAGUUUGGGUUCGCUUGACCACAUACUGACCAAGAAAAGAAGGAAGGGAAAUUUAGUGCUUAUUCUGGAAUCCCAGAUUCAAAAUUCGACAAAAUUGGGGCUGAUAUGAGAGUAACCCCGGGAAUAUUUGGGAAGAGGGGGAGUAAAGGAUUGCAUGGUGUGAGUUUGGGGUUAUUUGGGUGAGUUAGAGUUUUGGGGAUUCUGAGUUUAGAUUCAAGAUUCGAAGGGUUUGAGGGGAAUUUGGGCAAGAAGAUUAGGAGAUUUGAAAAGAGGAGGGCGAGGAGAUCAUGUGGUGUUAAUUUUGUGGCGUUUGGAGUGUCGCCGCCGCCGUGGGCAAUUUCCGGUGGUUGGUUGACGGUAGAGACGGU
rnacentral:lncRNA from 1 species